AAAGAUAAACAAAUGCUGGCUGCUUCACAGCUAAAUUAGCAUUUGAAAUAAUUAGACAGUUCAUCUAGGUCUACCUAUUCAGCACAUGACUCUCGAUUCUCCGCUGGAAUCGGGCACAAUUCCAGAACCUGGCACCGCACAUCACCCAGACAACCCAGCUGAACUCAAAGCUGAGUUGAUGCAGUUGAUAGGCAGACCCUAGAAGACCCUGAAGAUGUUGCCAGUCUGUCACAUGGUGAACAAAGAGAGACGAGCAGUCAUCCAUGCACAUAUAUUAACAACUACAGCUGGAAUCACCUAAUAGCCUAACUUGAAUGUCUUUGGACUGUAGGCAGAAUCCAGAAAACCUACAGGGAGAACAACCUCGACAGAGGAGGGCCCCAAACUGGCCAGCAGGUUCAAACCUUGAAACUUUUUGUGGUGAUGUGACAGUUCUAAACGCUGCACCACCCUCCUUGAAGUACAAGGAUGGAGCAGCACAGCAAGGGUAUUACAGAAUAAACUGUAAAGCUUGU
ensembl:lncRNA